AACGAACGCUGGCGGCGUGCCUAACACAUGCAAGUCGCACGUGAAAGUCUUUCGGGAUGAGUAAAGUGGCGCACGGGUGAGUAAGACGUAGGUGACCUGCCUUUUAGAGGGGAAUAACCAGAAGAAAUUUUGGCUAAUGCCGCAUACGAAGCACAAAUCUUAGAGUAGUGCUUGAAAGAAUGCCUCUGCAUAUGCAUUCACUAAAAGAUGGGCCUGCGGAACAUUAGCUAGUUGGUGGGGUAAAGGCCUACCAAGGCAACGAUGUUUAUCCGGUCUGAGAGGAUGAUCGGACACACUGGAACUGAGACACGGUCCAGACUCCUACGGGAGGCAGCAGUGGGGAAUAUUGCGCAAUGGGGGAAACCCUGACGCAGCAACGCCGCGUGAGUGAGGAAGAACUUCGGUCUGUAAAGCUCUGUUAAUGAGGAAAAAUGGUAGUUGGUCUAAUAGGCCGAUUAUUUGAUGGUACUCAUAGAGGAAGCACCGGCUAACUUCGUGCCAGCAGCCGCAGUAA
rnacentral:rRNA from 1 species